ACGCAGGCUGCCCCCAAGAUCUCCGGGGUCAAAAGGACUUGUUCUGCACUAAAAUGUGCUGUGUCUCCAGUGUUUUUCUGCUUCUCUGGAGAGGAAUGUCCAAAGGGGCGUGGCUGAGAGGUUAACCACAGCUAUGCAGACAACAGCUGGAUGCUUGCUUCUUUGCCUGCUAAGGGCUUAAUUUUGGAUCCUGUCCAAAGAACCCUGUUUUGGAUAGGAAAUGUGAAAACAGUCCAACUGAAGUUGUUUUCAUUGCCUAUACAGUGGACAUUCUCAUAAGUUUCACCUGAAGGAUUGAAGUUACGUUUCCAAUUACUCAUGCACAUCUUUCAAUUCCAUCACUAGAGAACCUAAUACUGACGGCUAAGCACAGCCCUUGAAAAUAAUGCAACUACUACCAUUUAUUGAGUGCUUGCAAUGUGUGAAAGAUUAUGCUAAUUUCAGUUUUAUUACUCCAUUCUGUAGCUGUGGAAACCAAAGCUCUGAGAGGUUAAGUAAUUUACUGAAGGUUAUACAGCAAGUGAUUUGCAAGACUGGGAUUUGAAUUCAGGUUGGUCUGAUUUGAUCAUGUUAUGGAGUCUCUGUUCGCCAAUUAUGAAGGGCGAAAUGAUGGCAAUUCAUUUGGCUGCAGAACAUGUGAUUCUAUCCUUUUUAAGUGUGCUUGG
rnacentral:lncRNA from 1 species